UACGAAGGAUCCUAGCGUUGUCCGGAUUUACUGGGUUUAAAGGGUGUGUAGGCGGGCUUUUAAGUCAGUGGUGAAAUCUCCGGGCUCAACCCGGAAACUGCCAUUGAUACUAUUAGUCUUGAAUUUUGUUGAGGUAGGCGGAAUAAGUCAUGUAGCGGUGAAAUGCUUAGAUAUGACUUAGAACACCAAUUGCGAAGGCAGCUUGCUAAACAAAUAUUGACGCUGAGGCACGAAAGCGUGGGGAUCAAACAGG
rnacentral:rRNA from 1 species